GCCUCCUGUAACUACUAGUAGGCUCAGAAGGCCGUGAUCAUCCAUCCAAAUGGUUGAUCACCCACAAAUAUACAAGAGAAGACUCCAGAUCCAAUCCCAGAAUUCCUGCUCACCGGUAAUCGGAAGUCUACUGGACGAUUGCGGGAAUGUUGCGAUAUUUCCUGCUUAAUAUUUUCAGAUAUGGGAAAAGCACUUAAGAUGAGCACACGUUUCAGGAACGUUAAAAUUAAGCUGGUGAGGAGGUCUAUGGUGGGCCCUGCAAGUUUUCUUACCUCAGUCAAGGUCUUCCCUAGCCCAGCUACAAACAGACCCACCCUUCAGACGCUAUUACAUCUCAACCUGCUGAACCUGAUGAUGCGACACAGAGCUGUUCUGAGAGCGCAUACAGUAAGGCAAAGAAGAGAGAGCUUCAUGCCUGGGAUGCAGUCAAGGAUGAGAUGCUUAAGAAUGUUUACUAUGAGCCAUCCUCCCUGGGGUUAUUCUUAUAUUUACCUGAAGCCCAUGGCACCCAUGCUGUGAACACAAAGGACAUGAAGAUCAUUGUCAGCACAGGUUUGUCAUUUUACCUGAUACAAAAUCUUAAUGUAUUUAAUUUUAUUGACAGGUUAAGGAAUUCAAUCCUAUUACAUGUGGAGUAAUGAUUUCCUUUAAGGAAUUAAUCAAAUUUGUGAUGCAAUAAAAAAAAAAAAGUCAUGAUAGUUAUAGUUUAUAUACUAUCAUGAUAGGUAAAAAUGUAUAGCCUGAAUCCACUGUAAGUCGCUUUGGAUAAAAGCGUCUGCUAAAUGCAUACAUUUAAUUUAAUUUAUACUGAUAUGUUAGUCUCUAUAGUACUACUAGGUUAUGUUUUUAUGUUAUUUUCCUCUUUAUAUUUGGCAGGACGGUUCUGCACCGUUACAGUCACCAUGUGUGCGUGUGAACCAGAAACCUGUACUCUGCUAAGAUAUGGGCUCUGAUUAGACAGCCUUCUCCAUCCCUCUGCUAGAGCUUUCUGUUUCUCUGUCACUGGAGUGUCAGGCGGAUGGAGAUAUGAUUGUCACAUUGGAUGCCAACUUUGGCCUUGUGAGGAAUCAAAGCUCUGGGACAAGUGCGGUUGAUCCAUUACACGGAACCCGCGUGUUUAGAGGAAUACCUGCUAUCACAUCUUGACAGCUCAAAGCCUCGAGGUGAAAACUUGUGAAAAAAGAUCACUAUUCCUCUCAUAAAUCUAUGUUUUCCUUAAAUAUUUAGGACUGCAGUAAGCUGCUCUCAUUCAAGGUAUUAUAAUAUAAUAUAAUAUAAUUACUUUACUGCGUUACUUGUGCAGACAUGUUGUUUUACUAGGUCUGAUCUAUUUUAAAGCUUAGGCACUGUAUUUAAGCAUACAUAUACACCACUAGUCUGUCUGUAUGAGUACAAAAUU